ACAUCUCAACUCCUCACGGUUUGCCCGUGAUGAGCUUGGACUUCGGGGGUCUUGCUGGCCUGCAGGUCGGCUCCUCUCAAAUGAAUCAGCUUGCCAGUGUUUGGUGGCGUCACAGGUGUGAUAACUAUCUACGCUUGUGGUUUUCCCACCAGGUAACCUCCAGCGAUGGGGGUUCACUGGAGCUCACAAAUGUCUCUCCUCGGUGAGGACGGCUCUUUGAAC
rnacentral:misc_RNA from 1 species